GAGUUUGAUCCUGGCUCAGAUUGAACGCUGGCGGCAGGCCUAACACAUGCAAGUCGAACGGUAACAGGAAGCAGCUUGCUGCUUCGCUGACGAGUGGCGGACGGGUGAGUAAUGUCUGGAAGCUGCCUGAUGGAGGGGGAUAACUACUGGAAACGGUAGCUAAUACCGCAUAAUGUCGCAAGACCAAAGAGGGGGACCUUCGGGCCUCUUGCCAUCGGAUGUGCCCAGAUGGGAUUAGCUUGUUGGUGGGGUAACGGCUCACCAAGGCGACGAUCCCUAGCUGGUCUGAGAGGAUGACCAGCCACACUGGAACUGAGACACGGUCCAGACUCCUACGGGAGGCAGCAGUGGGGAAUAUUGCACAAUGGGCGCAAGCCUGAUGCAGCCAUGCCGCGUGUAUGAAGAAGG
rnacentral:rRNA from 1 species